rnacentral:rRNA from 1 species
GACGAACGCUGGCGGCGUGCUUAACACAUGCAAGUCGAACGGAAAGGCCCCUUUGGGGGUACUCGAGUGGCGCACGGGUGAGUAACACGUGAGUAACCUGCCCUUGACUUCGGGAUAACUUCAGGAAACUGGGGCUAAUACCGGAUAGGAAUCCUUGCUGCAUGGUGGGGGUUGGAAAGCUUCGGCGGUUUUGGAUGGACUCGCGGCUUAUCAGCUUGUUGGUGGGGUAGUGGCUUACCAAGGCUUUGACGGGUAGCCGGCCUGAGAGGGCGACCGGCCACAUUGGGACUGAGAUACGGCCCAGACUCCUACGGGAGGCAGCAGUGGGGAAUAUUGCACAAUGGGCGGAAGCCGGAUGCAGCAACGCCGCGUGCGGGAUGACGGCCUUCGGGUUGUAAACCGCUUUCAGCAGGGGCGAAGCUUGUGGUGACGGUACCUGCAGAAGAAGCACCGGCUAACUACGUG